AUUGAACGCUGGCGGCAGGCCUAACACAUGCAAGUCGAGCGGAUGAAGGGAGCUUGCUCCUGGAUUCAGCGGCGGACGGGUGAGUAAUGCCUAGGAAUCUGCCUGGUAGUGGGGGAUAACGUCCGGAAACGGGCGCUAAUACCGCAUACGUCCUGAGGGUGAAAGUGGGGGAUCUUCGGACCUCACGCUAUCAGAUGAGCCUAGGUCGGAUUAGCUAGUUGGUGGGGUAAAGGCCUACCAAGGCGGCGAUCCGUAACUGGUCUGAGAGGAUGAUCAGUCACACUGGAACUGAGACACGGUCCAGACUCCUACGGGAGGCAGCAGUGGGGAAUAUUGGACAAUGGGCGAAAGCCUGAUCCAGCCAUGCCGCGUGUGUGAAGAAGGUCUUCGGAUUGUAAAGCACUUUAAGUUGGGAGGAAGGGCAGUAAGUUAAUACCUUGCUGUUUUGACGUUACCAACAGAGUAAGCACCGGCUAACUUCGUG
rnacentral:rRNA from 1 species